AUUAAAAGAAAAGUUACACGUUUACGAACACAAACAGGACAUAUCAUCGUCAAGAUUCGAUUCUGGAGAUUUCUGAUUUUGAACGUGGCCUUGAUAAGGUCUAGGUUCUCUGUCUUGUCUGUUUAUUAUUGGAAGGUGCAAUGCAAAUAAGGUUUUUCACUUUGUUUUUGGGCCUAAAAAAAAAUAUAGAGCACAAGACUCUUGCUUUAUAGUUGCUGACAUUGUUUUUGGGCCUAGAAAAAAUAGAGCGCACGAAGCUCUUGUUUUAUAGGUGCUGUGCCUGUUUUGUUUUGUUCUCUCUGGAUAAGAUAAGGAGGAGAG
rnacentral:misc_RNA from 1 species